ensembl:lncRNA
AGAGCUGGAGAGAGCAGAAGCAGUAAAUAGUUGUUUUUGUCACUUGAGUCAGCACAUAUAAUUCUUCACACACACAGGAACUAUCUUCGCCGUGGAAGAAAAUACCAUUUGCACAAUAACUUUUCACAGUGGAACUGUGCCUUGAAUCAAACAAGCAAGUACUGAGUCACCUCUGCAGCACAGCAACAACAAUUUGAUCUGCUACGUGGCAAGCUUUGGUUUGAAGAUACUAAACAAUUCCUCAUCCCAGGCCUGGGGCUUUGCAGCUGAUGAGACAUACGAAAGACACAGCUAAAAUCUUACUGCCCACAGACAGAAUAUCAACAUGAGCACCAGGAGUUCAUAACACCUAUGGAAAGCAGCGCUGCAUACGUGCAAAAAGAUAUGAGAGAAUAAUUUCAAGAAAUGCCCUUACAGCACCCAGUCAGCUUCCAAAAGGAUUAUUCAUUAUAAAACAUUCUGGCUUGAUAAUGAAUUCUGAUAGAGGACAUGAUGUUAAUUCAGCUAUUCCUUCUUGGUUCUCCUCUUGGAUUUAAAUAUAUAUUUAUAUAUUUAUAUAUAUUUUAGCCUCUGAAUACUUCUAUGAUCUGAUUUCUUACACCCUGCAGGGGACAGCAUUGGGUAAAGAAAAGUAGAAAUCAUUUGAUAAAAAAGCAUUUGCUUUCAAUUAUCAGAUUGUACUUUCUUAAUUGAGACACAAAAAGUAUUCUCCUUUUAGGUUGAUGCAAAUCCUCUCUCUCUCUCCACCCUUAAACUGCUCUGAAUUAUUAAUCAUAAUUUCUUCAGCUACAGAGUUCGUUCAAUCAAUAGUGAGAAAGAUUCCCAACCAUUUGCAGCCACCAGUGUUAAAGAAGGCAACAGAAACGCUGUACAGAACUGCUGUAACUUAGGACUUCCUUCCUAGGCAGACCAUGUAAUGCUGUUUUUCAGCAGCAACGGCGAAUCCUCUGCGAUAACAGAGGUGUCAGCAUGCAGGUGAAAAAUACUGUUUUUCUACUCUCUCAUUAAAAUACGUAUGUGUACGGGCACACACAAAUUGGGACUGUAAACAUGCGUGUAAAUGCAAGCCAAAGUGUUUGCCUUUUAUUUUUCUUAGCCACUGUCACAAAAUCAAGGUGCUUUACUCCUCCUGCAAAUAAGGGCUGUGUUUAGAAGCGAUACUGCAAAAGGUAUAUGGUAGCCUUGUUUGUUUUGGACAGAUGCAAAGAAGAAUCUCUGAACUUCUGCCAGUGAUCAAAGGAACUGAUGAUGUAGAACAGAUUCAUGGGCCAUGUCCUAUCAGCCUGCACUUUACCCAUCAUCCAUCAUCCAAACCCUAAGCCUUUUUCUGAGUGAUGAUUGCACCCUAAACACAUAAAAUUAAUCACCACUUCAGCCUGGCCAGGUGUCUUGCCUCCAGAAAUUAUCUCACUGCAGCAAAAGAACUGCUAGAAUCUGAUAUCUGCACUGUAAUUUAAUUUAAAGAAUACUGCAUAGUAACACUAAGAUUGAUUUACAUAUCUGAAAAGUUUCUUGUUUCCCAAAGCCAAUAUAAAUUCUUAGAGAAAUAUGUAACUGGAAAAAAAAACUGGUUGAUCAUAAACUUGGGGCAUUUGAAUAUUUAUUAGUUUCUGGAAUUCUCUGAUGAUGUUUUCUACCCCAGUCGUAGCUCAACGCAGGUCUUAAAAUGCAGUUCGCAAAACCAGAAAGGCCAGGUAUGCGAACAGUCUGUGUUUGCUCCUGGAUAUGUACCUCGGUGGAGCACUGGCUGUGGUGUGGGGGACGGCAGUUUGCAUAACAUCGCCUGCUCUCAAUUUCAAGGAGCUCCUCAUUUUUAUUUUCAGAUAUUUCUUCUUUUCUUCAUUAGAAAAGGGAAGAGAAAUUAAGCGGCAGGUUAUUAAACUAUUCCUUGCACCUAUGCUUUGGAAAUGACAAUAGAGCUAUCACAACUAAAUGUGACAGUGGCUAGUAAAUUAGCUCAAAUGUAGACUAGAUUUGUAAGAAAUGCAGGUCCUGCUGCAUUUCAGCUGCUCAGCUUCGCUUCUCACACAGAACACACACAGCAUCUCUGUGUUUUAUAGAAAUAAUAGCAAUUAUAAGUACAAAUGUGAAAAUAAUCCCCACCUAAUGAUAAAUGGAAAUAACAGGCUAAUUCCAGUAUGCAUAUUAAUGAGGAGAGACGAGUCAGCUCUCUGCUAUAAAUAUGAGGCCU